AUCUUUUUGUAGUUAAUAAGCAUGAUGAUUCAGUGUUCACGUGCAUGUGUGGGAUGUGCCGCCCCCAAACCUUGUUAGGACAUUGGCACAUUACCCGUCUGACA
ensembl:snoRNA